rnacentral:rRNA from 1 species
AUGCUCCGCCUCCGAGGGCGCAUCGUUGCCCAUCUCCUCUCUUCCUCCUCCACCUCUGGCCCGGCCAUCUCCCCUCUCCACCGGCUCCUCUCCGCAUCGGCAGCCGCCGGCCCCAUUUCCCCGAACCCCGCUGGAUUCGCCGUCGAGGACUACCUCGUCGACACCUGCGGCCUCACCCGGCCCCAAGCCCUCAAGGCCUCCACCAAGCUCUCCCACCUCAAGUCCCCCGCCAACCCCGAUGCCGUCCUCGCCUUCCUCUCCGGCGUCGGCCUCUCCGGCGCCGACGUCGCCGCCGUCGUCGCCAAAGAUCCGCAGCUCCUAUGCGCCAAAGUGGACAAAACCCUGGCUCCGGUGGUCGAUGGGCUCACCGGCCUCGGCCUGUCGCGCUCCGACAUCGCCCGCCUCGUCUCGCUCGCCCACGCCUACUUCCGCUGUAGAUCCAUAGUCCCCAAGCUGCACUACUACCUGCCCCUCUUGGGCUCCUCCCACAACUUGCUCCGGCUGCUCAAGCGGGGAGGAUCCCACCUUCUGUCAUCGGACCUCGACAAGGUUGUCAAGCCCAAUGUUGCCUUCCUGAGGGAGUGCGGGCUAGGUGAUUCUGAUAUUGCCAAGCUGUGUAUCCAUCGGCCAAGGAUGCUCACCACCAACCUGGAGCGCGUCCGGGCGAUGGUGACAUGCGCCCACGGUAUAGGCGUGCCCCGUGGCUCUGGGAUGUUCAGACAAGCGCUACAUGCUGUCGCAUUCCAAAGCGAGGAGAAGAUUGCCGCCAAACUGGACUACUUGAAGAAUACCUUCAGGUGGUCUGAUGCCCAAGUGAGCAUUGCUGUCUGUAAGGCUCCGAUUGUGCUGAGCAAGUCAAAGGAGUCUCUGAAGCGCAGGUCCGACUUCUUCUUCUUUGAGGUGGGCUUGGAACCGGCGUACAUUGCUCAUCAUCCGGUGUUGCUCUCUUACAGCAUGGAGGGCCGUCUCAGACCCAGGUACUAUGUUAUCAAGUACCUUAAGGCAAAUGGAUUGUUAGGUCAGUACCGGGACUACUAUAGCAUAGUCAUGCCGAGUGAGAAGGUAUUUGUGGAGAAGUUCAUAUGCCCUCACAAGAAAGCUGCACCACACCUUGCUGAAAACUAUGCAACAGCUUGCAAAGGGGAAGUGCCAACUAAUUUCAGAUUUACAUGA